UUAUUUUUCGUUUAGCUCCCUAUCCCGCUCUUGCAGACUCCAUUCCCCUGUCCUCGUCGCCGCCGGCCGAGGGUCCAGGCCGCCUCCUUUUUCCGUCGCCGCCGGAAGAUGGCCGGCUCCUCUCGUCGUCGCCGCCGGAAGAGGGAUCCUGGAUCGAAGCCAUCGCCGCCGCCGGUAGAGGGCCGCCUCCUCUCGUCGUCGCCGCCGGAAGAGGGCCGCCUCCUCUCGUCCUCGCUGCCGGAAGAGGGAUCCUGGAUCGAGGCCGUCGCCCCCCUCCCCCUCGUGCCUUCCCUUCCAGGCCGCCGGCCGAGGGCCCUGUGCUCAUCGCAGGAGGGACGGCCAUUCCCAGGCGCGUUGCCGUGGUCGGCCGGCGGACCUGCGCGUGGUGGUGCGCUGGGGGCCAGGACCAGCGCAGUUUCCGUUUUGACACCGGCUUUCCGGCGAGAUCUUGACAGGCGGGAAUUGAACUUCUGAAUCUCUUGCGCAGCGCGGGAAGUAACAUGUUCCUGAUUUGAUUUCCUCGAUCAUCAUCUCUCUCUUGUCUCUCUGUCCCUCCAUUUUUUGAACGGGCUCUGAUCCAUUGAAGCAUGCGAGGGCGCAAUUUUUUGCUUACGAAACCCAGUCAUAUUUUUUCUUUCUUUUUCAUCUGAUGACUCACAGGUGAUUACUUAUUGACAGGAAGCUACAUGAAAGUUAUUACUGCUAUUGUGCUCAAAUUAGUUAUAACAUAUCGAGUAUAAUUUGAACAGCAAUAAACUAGUGUAAUCUGUAGCACUUUUUUUAAGCAACAUAAGCAUUUGAAAGGUUCAUACAUUUGAAAGUGAGCAUGAAUAUUUAAUCAAUUCUGUGUUCGUACAUUCUGUAAGGAUCAUGGAUGAUGAAGAAUAAAUCCAUAAAGAAUUAAAUGCAUCAGCACUUGUAGCUUUUUUGUUUGUGAUUAAAUGUUGAAAUAGAUGUGAUCCUUUUUUUUCCAUUCCAGCAGGGUAAUUGAUGGAGGCGAAUGGGUAUGUAAGCCUAGAGGAAAUUGAGGAAUAUAACUAUGUGGCAAAUCGGACCUUUAAUACGGAGGAAGAUUUCUUCGAGUUUUACAAUGCUUAUGCAUUCCGUAAAGGAUUUGUCAGGCAUGGAGUGACCAGAGUUUUCUGGUUUGUCAAGUGUCGUUGUGUCUGAAGUUGCAUUUUCGUUGUUUGCUCCCACAACAGUGCUUUCAUCCUAGUGGCUGCUCUCUGAUGCAGUGGUACUAUUGGAGUUCUCAUCUGCUGUAGCAGGUUGGAUAAAUAAUUCAUAAAGUAUAGAACAGACAACAGAAAACACGCAUUGAAGGGUCUAAAUCUGCUGCAGCUAUGACGCGACUUCAUCUCAGUAUUAUCUGUUUGCAGAACAAGAGGGUGUUCAAUUGAGUAUAUAUUGUCUGCUAGCAUUUUGAAACUAAAUUGUGAUGUGACGCCUCCUGAUAAAAGUAUGUCUGCAAAAUGGUGUCAAUAUGGAAGUUGGAAGUCUUGUCAGGGGUGAUUUAUAUGGACUAAUCUAUGAAGGCGCAGCUCUAGACUGGAUAGUUUCCUCAUGGUUUUGAGUGGGCAAAAAUUUUGCCAGUGCAAUACUGAAUGUAGAUAGAAUUAUACUUUCGAUGACAUUGUACUAUUUCUUAUAUUUUACCUACUAGUAAAUAAAAUGCCCUGAUUUUAGCU